CAGCUCCAAUAGCGUAUAUUAAAGUUGUUGCAGUUAAAAAGCUCGUAGUUGAAUUUCUGCGUAUGCCUAGUUCUGGCUUUGGUCAAGCUAGUGUGUGCGCAUCCGCUUGCAAAUCCGGACCGGCGUUUACUCGUCGACCGGGGGAGUAGGCCCUUUACCUUGAAAAAAUUAGAGUGUUUCAGGCAGGCAAUGGCUCGAAUACAUUAGCAUGGAAUAAUAGAAUAGGACGUGCGGUUCUAUUUUGUUGGUUUCUAGGAUCGCCGUAAUGAUUAAUAGGGAUAGUUGGGGGCAUUAGUAUUCAGUGCCUAGAGGUGAAAUUCUUGGAUUUACUGAAGACUAACUACUGCGAAAGCAUUUGCCAA
rnacentral:rRNA from 1 species